GCAACAUGCUAGUUCACUGACAUAAGCUUUUGGAUACGAUGUCGGGGUCACCCGUUUGUAAAGUGUCAGUGUGAUUUGAAAUUAGCACUUCGCCAGCAAGCAGUACUUUGUGGGCAGUUGUGCUAAAGUUUGCUUGCUAACAUAACGUAAACUGACUGGCAGAAACCUCG